UCAAUCAAUCAUACACAAUUUUGGCUGGUGGAACCAAAGCUACUCUUAAUUCCUGUAACAUAUUCCUUCACUAAUCUCAUAAAAUGAAAUCGCAUUUCCAAAGUCGAGUUAUGAAAUCACAGGCUGGCGCGGUAAACUCUCUUCAGGCUCUUUUCAUAUUCUUUUAUGUUUCUUUAAACUAUUUCUUAAUCUGACCGUUAAUAAUUCAGAUUCAGAAUGAUUUAACAGAAGGAAGAUAUUUGUUAUCUGCUGCAUCCAUCUGUGGCGGUCUGCGAGGUUCAACGGCCUAGUGAUUACGACAGUUUGAUGUCGAAACACAUUGCUUAUUUGCUGUUGAUAGGCAACAUGUAGUAGCUCAUAAAAAUGCAGUAUUGUUAGCUACACUCAACUCAAACAUUCUGUAUUUUAGUUUAGCUUAUUCCUUGUUUGUGAUGGGAUUGAAAGUAACAGGAUGGCAU
rnacentral:lncRNA from 1 species